GGGCGGAUGGUUUAGUGGUAUAAUACUCCCUUAGCAUGUUUCCCACAGAGGAUCAUACCUGGGAGUGGUCCGGGGUUCGAUUCCCCGUUCGUCCA
rnacentral:tRNA from 1 species